CACGUAGGCACCAAGCGUUGUUCCGGAUUUAUUGGGCGUAAAGAGCUCGUAGGCGGUUCGGCAAGUCGGGCAUGAAAUCUCUCGGCUCAACCGGGAGAGGUUGUCCGAUACUGUUGGACUUGAGGGCAGUAGAGGGUGGUGGAAUUUCCAGGUGUAGCGGUGAAAUGCGUAGAUAUCUGGAGGAAUACCGGUGGCGAAGGCGGCAUCCUGGACCGGCAUUGACGCUGAGGAGCGAAAGCCAGGGGAGCAA
rnacentral:rRNA from 1 species